rnacentral:tRNA from 1 species
GCCGCUAUAGUUAAGUGGUAUAACGGUUGAUUCGUAAUCAAUAAUCACUAGUUCGAUUCUAGUUAGCGGCACCA